AACGCACCUUGCGCUCCUUGGUAUUCCGAGGAGCAUGCCUGUUUGAGUGUCAUUAAAUUCUCAACCUUUAUCAGCUUUUUGGUUGAUAAAUGGCUUGGAUGUGGGAGCUUGCAGGUUUCUCUUUUGAAAUCAGCUCUCCUGAAAUACAUUAGCUGGUUGCCUUGUGUAGACUAGUCUAUUAGUGUGAUAAUUAUCUACGCUGUGGACUGUUUACCGAUUAUAGCACUGCUUCUAAUCGUCUGUUAACUCGGACAAUAUAUGACAAUUUGACCUCAAAUCAGGUAGGACUACCCGCUGAACUUAA
rnacentral:misc_RNA from 1 species